CUAAGCGCCAGUACCUACCCGACAGGAACGGGAACAGUGGAAACACUGCUGUCGGCGGUUGACGAGGUGAAGGGUGAUCGAAUAUUCGGCGGAUGCUCUUCCAUGCCUUCCGGGCGUGUAAUUCCAGAAUAAAUAUGCGGGAAACUGCAAAACAAAAGU
rnacentral:ncRNA from 1 species